UGUUUGCAGUGUCGUUGUUUGAAGUAACAACAAAGUAAAAUAGAGGUGAGAAAUUACCGGUGGGUGAUAGUAAUUGCAACCAUUCGAGAAUUUACCACUCGGACUCGAUGUAGGGAAUGUGAGAUAUCUUAUGCCAGUCUUCUCCUUCCCCCUCUCUAUAACGGUUUUCCAGAAGAGGACAUCUGUGAAUAAUCAAUUCCUGCAGCGUCGUCGUCCGAAGAAGGUAAUCCGGCAGCACCUUUAAUUUGGGGCAAUACCCAAUUUCCAAGGAAGAAAGACGUGGUAUGUCUGUUGUCUUGCGAUCUUCUAGAAUGGGCAGUUCUUCUAGAAGAUCACAAAAAUAAAUACGCAGUUCCUGCAGUGCCGUCGAUUGAAGAAGGUAAUCCGGCAGCGCCUUCAAUUUGGGGCAACCUCUAAUCCACAAGGAAGAAAGACGGGGCAUGAUGGAGAUGUUUUCCUUCCUCGUAAUCCUGUAAUUCCACUCUUCCAACUCUUCCAUUCCCCCAAUGUCGAGUGAUUUUAAUUUGGGAAAGGCAGUAACUGAUGAUGACGAUGAAGAUGAAGAUGGGUCAUCCUCACUGCUUUCUUCUAUUCCCAAAAACUCAUUACCCACUCUUUUUACACUUUUCAAAAUGUAUAGUUGGAGUUUUUCCAGAGGUAAUUUUCCCAAAGGAGGCAAAUGCUCACAGUUAAAACAAAACCAAAGAUUUAAUUCCCUUAGAUAGGUUAGUGAAGUCAACCAUUUGGGAAAAAUGUCGCCUCCGUAGAAACAAAUCUGUAAUUCCUCUACAUUCAAAUGCGGUUGUAAAGCUUCAAGAAGUUGUUUAUCUUUCUCAUUCUUCCUCCUCCCUUCUUCGCCUUCCCCAUCUACGACUCCAUCAAACACAAGAUGCAAACGAAGGAGGUUUUCCAUAUUGUGAAGUCCUAUUCUCUCAGCCUCAUCUAAAUGUGAUACAUUACUCAGCCCUUCUAUUCCACAUUUACGAAGGAGUUGAAGAUUUUUCAGAGAUUCAAGCCUACACGUGCUGCCGCCAUCAACACCUCCACCCACAACAAACUUUUCUAAUGUUCGAAGACUGGUUAAUUUGGAAAUCCCUAUUGGCAUGUACUUCAAUGAAUAAGUUUGACCAUUCAGUAAACUCCUCAUGUUCAUUAACUUCCCAAUCCCCGCUGGCAAUUCUCUAAGAUUUGGGCACCGCCUAAUAUCUAGCUUUCGUAAAUUAUAUAAUUCACACAAAGUCUCAGGCAGUCUCUCUAUACAUAAUUCAGAUAAAUUAAGAUAUUUUAAAUGUAUCAAUUUUCCAAUAUUUUCUGGAAUUUCUCUAAUGAAAUUUGGGCUAGGAUGAGAAAAUGAGGACAACUGUCUUAUAACUAAUGCCCUUAAACACGCCAAUUUACUAAAUAACCCCGGAAGGAUGCUACUACGAAGAGACGGACCUUUAUCAUAAAUUAAGAGGGUCCGCAAUCUAUUAAGUCCAUAAAUGGACAUAGGAAGUGGAGCGCCUCCUUCAAAAUUUAAUCCUAGGUGACAGACUUUGUCACCAAAAGAAUUUAUGACUGACUCUUUGUUACCAUCAAUUUCUAGCCACAAACAUUCUUUUCUACUUACAAAUUGGGCAAAAUCAUGUACUAUGUCAUGCAUUUUACACCUCAUAAACUCAUUAUCGCCACCGUAUGUUUCAAACUCUUGAAAGAAAGAGUGUGUUGCUAAGAUGUUGAAAUACUCUUCUCCAACCAUCUCCAUUUCUUCGUCUUCUUCUGCAUUAAGGUAACCUUGAGCCAUCCACAUAUCAAUCAAUUCCUUUUUAUGCAUAUAGUGGUCUUUUGGAAAGACAGCACAAUAUGAGAAACAUUGUUUUACCAUAGAAUUAGAGGGCAAAUCGUUAUAACUCAACAACAAAGGAGCCAAAAGACCUUUCCUAAUCUCUUCUACCUUCCACAUUUCACUCUCUAAAAUUCUUUGCCACUCUUUUACUGUACAUUUAGAGCGCAAGAGAUUCCCUAUUACCUUUACAGCAAGAGGCAGGCCUUUGCACUUGCGUGCAAUUUUUCGUCCGAUUGGUUCUAAUUUUUCACAAUCCUCGAAAGAGCGACCGAAAAAUGCCAACCGCUUGAACAACAACCAGCAUUCCUCUUCAGCUAGUUGUUCAAUGGAGAUAAUAUCUAACUCUAUUGUUCGCAUCAUACGUGCAACUGACUCAUUACGUGUGGUAACCACAAUUUUACUUCCAGGAAGACCAUUCUUUAGACAAAAGAAGAAUUGAUCCCAUAUAUUAUAAUUCCCAUCCCAUACAUCAUCUAAGACAAUAAAAAUUUUUUUUCCUUCAAUUGAUCUAUGGAUAUGGCUCAUAAGAGAUUGGAAUUCGCUUAAACCAGAAGCUUCUUUUGACUCGCCUAGUCCUUCAAUAAUUGCUUUGGCGACCCUCAUCUCAUCAAAAGUGUCUGAUACACACACCCAUAUAACUUUUUCAAAAUUUAUUUUCACCCCAUCAUUAUUAUAGGCUAGUUGUGCAAGAGUGGUUUUACCUAUACCCCCUAACCCAACCAGUGAGAUGAUAUGAGGAUGUUGUUCGCCACUCUCACCCAACAACUUACCUAACAGCUCAUUUUUCUCGUCAUCUCUACCAAAAAUCUCUCCCUCAUCAAUCAAGGAGGUGGUUGGCACUCGCUCUGAUUUCUUAACAUUGUUACUCACAUUCUCAACAAAUUUAAACAUAUCUUUUCGAGUGGCAAUACCAUCUAGCUUUUCACUGAUUUCGCUAAUCUUGACAGCAACAUCAUCACGAAGAAUGAGUUGUUUGAAACCACCUAAGUAGUUUGAGGCAGCACGAAAGAAGGAACAUACCUUCUUCUUAGGAGGAGCAAGAGCAAGAGCAUCGUCAUCAUCGCCGCCCUCAUCAAGCUGCAAUUUCCGUGUUUCAGUGAUCCACUCUUCCAACACAUCUUCCAUGUCGUAGGAUGCGUCUCUGAGCUGAUCCAGCCAAAGAGUAACAGCUUUGUCCUGCUUCAUUUGCCUCUGCUCUGCAUCUUACAGUACAGCUUGAAUGACUUGAAGAUUGGUAGUAAGCUUUCCCACUUCUUGUUCGACACCCGUCACAAGCCUCCACUUUUCUUUCACCUGAUCUUGAGCAAUGGAUUUCAGCUGGUCCAGGAGAGAGGAAACGAUCGCAUGAGCCAUUCAGAGGAAAGUAGGUUUUAUGUAUUCUGUGAGAAUGUUCAUUCAAGCAUGUUUGCAUUCUUCUUAUACCAUAUGAGAUAUUUAAUUUUUACCCUCGAGUCAAUGUCAAUAAUUGUACAGCGUCUGCCCUGUUUCUCUGAUUCAUAAUAAUUCAUUGUUAAUUCUGCAGAGUACACAGCGUCAGCACUUGUGAAAUUUCUUACAUUUGUAAAAUCAUGCAGCCGACCCUUGUGAACUAACUAAUUAACUAAAUUUUCUUACAUUGUCAAUAAGUUAUGAUUAUUGUGAAUUUUCCAUCCCCUAUAUAAAUUCUUAGAUUUAUUUAAAUUGUGAGUCAUAGAAGUAUAUUACCUAAAUUAUUUUAUCAGGCCAUGUUCCGAUACUAGGAGUAAGUACGGAAUUGGACUAAUUUUGUGAUUAUCUAUUUAUCUCAUAUUUGAUAAGCUUAAUUGAAUUGGAUUUAGGAACCAAAUUUAAAUUUAAUCCUAAAAUUAUGGAAUUGAUAAUCCUAAUUUACGCAUAACUUUAGUUGGGAUAAAAUUAAAGAAAAAAAGUUAUCCAUUUAUGAGACUUUAAUUUAUAUCAUUAUCGUUUAUUUAUGCUUAAUAUUUAUUUAUUUUUUUUAAUUUAUGAUUUACUUAAAAUUUAUUUUUAUUUAUUAUCUAUCAUCUGAUUAAAUUAGAACUUUACUUCUACUAACUCUUGAUAUUAAUUUUUCAUUACUUGCAUAUUUGAUAAUUUGUCAAUAAAAUUAACCAUUUAAUAAUUUAUUGCAUAAUAGAUUGUAUUAAACUUACUAAUCACUAAAAAAAUAUUUAAAAUCAUCAUGAAAAUUAAUAAUACCGUCAAUUAAUUGAUUUUAUAUACUUUUUUAAAUAUUUGAUAAAAAAUAAUUAAGUAUUUAAAUUUUUAUUUCAUUUUUUUAUUUGUUUAUUUUAUUAUGGAUACCCAAUAACUUGCAAUAUAAUUAAUUUUCUUAUUCAGACUACUCAGCAUCAGCUCCUAUAAAAUUUCUUACAUUAUAAGCAACAAAAUAUUUAUAAACUACAACAAAGGGCUUAAAUCAAUCCACCGAUUAACCUUUUGAAGUUAUAUAUAAUAUAUUAACUGUUGAUCUAGAAUAGUCUUAGUGGAUAGAUUUUUUUUAAUUAUAAAUAUCAAUAAAUUUUUUUUAUCGUUUAAUAGAUAUUGAUGAAAUUAUAUGGAGUAAUUUCGCCCAAUCAUAUAUAUUAUAACAAAAGUUGGAAAAGAGAAAAAUAAAACAAAAGUUGGAAAAAUCAUGCAGUCGUUGGGAAUUUCGAAAUUUGAGAAUUUUGCCCGUAGCUACAGGCUGCAGCGAUUUUUGACUUUCAUGAUGCAAACAAACCAAUCAUCAUUAAUUUCAAUAGAAAGAAGUAUUCUAGGUGGAAUUGAUUUCUGGAGCAGAAUAUGAUGUAUUUGGGACUUCCUACUCUAUUAGAUAGGUUAAUAACAUGUUAAUUGUCACAUCAUUAAUUUUAGAUUAUAAAUUUUAUAUUCAAACUUUGUAUGACUGCUCCUUUUUCAUUUGAAAAAAAAAAAAAAAAUUAACUUCUAGCAUGAUCUAAUUAAUUGAUCUUGUUUCAAAAGAAUCAAAAAAAUAAAUAAAAUAAAAUAAAGUAAUGCCAUAAUCUAAUUGGUCUUGUUAUUGACAUGUACUAAUGCAUUCUAUAUUUCUAACUUUGUACAUUUUAUUGAUAUGUUUCUCUUGAGAGAUAAGAAUCAUUAUGUGGCAAAAUUUUAUUAAAGCUGGGAUUAUUUAUGUUCUAAUACUUUGAACAUUAAUUUUUAAUCUACUCUUUAGAAUACAAAAAUAAUCCUUACCUAAACAUCUUUCAUAAAUGUUUUUUGCUGGGGCUGCUAAAAUUCAUAAUCUAAUAUUAGUUGAUGUGGCAUGUGUCCUAUCACAUAAAUGUAGAUAAUAAUAAUUAAUUCAUUAACAAAAUGAAAAAUGUUAGUUUACAAAAUACAAAUCCGAAUUUUUUGUGUGUUAGAGGGAAUUUAAAAGGGAGAGACUAAACAAAUGUGGUGACAAAUUACACGUAUUACCAAAAUUGAAAAUACAAAGUUUAGGCAACUGGAAACAUCUCUGUCAAUGGCAAUGAACCCAUUACCUCCAUUUAUAAUUAACCAAAAAUCAAAUAAAUUAAAAAAGAAAACACAAAGCAAGGAUAACUACUAGUUGUUUUGAUCAUCCCUGCUUCUUUUUCUUAGCAUAGCUCUUGUAAUGAAAAUUAACAAAAAGGGCCAAAAGGGAAGCAUUAAACACAGUAUUGAAGCACCAACCCCAAAACACAGGGAAACCAAAUCCCGUGAAAUGAUAAUUCAGCAUCAAAAUGAAAAAUGUUAUGGAUGGCUGUGAUGGGUCUGAGGAUGUGGGGUCCAAUGAGAGGUGAUGAUGAUGGUGAUGUUGAUGUUGAUGUGUGGUAGAGGAUGGAUGUGAGGGAGAGGUAAGUAAUGAUGGAGUGAAUGAGGAUGCGUGGGAAGGAAGCUAGGGUUUGGUUUUGAGUCCAUGUGAAGUUGAGGACUUGUGGGUGGCUUACAAGCAAUAUUGGAGUGUUAAGCUGAUUGAAUUUGAACAGUGCUACUCCAAUAACAUCAAUAUGGUUGAUGACCGCUCUAUCAAAUCCUUUGGAUAAAUGAAUUGACCGCUCUAAAAUAAAUGAAUGAGAUAGGAUAAAUUCGAAUAAAUUAAUCUGCAUAAUGACACAAGAAACAAAUAUAAAUUGACCGCAAGUAGAAAUAUACUUUUGUUAUAUUUAGAGCAUCUUCCAAUUUCUUUCCCUUGAGCUCUGUUUCUGCGAGUGCUCAAAAGCAAGACACAGGCCUCAAGAUAUAAUUAUCAUCAUCAAUCUUUUGCAGCCACAUGCAGUACUUGGAAAAUGUUUAUGGCCCUAAAUAACUGGAAAAUCAGAAAACAUUAAGAACAAGAGACUAAUCAUUUUAAUCGCAACAAAACAUGCACACUAUGAAAAUAUAAAAUUGAAUUACUUCGAAUGGAUGUGCCUCUUAACAGGAAUUGCACAAGCUAAUGAGCAAGUGAGCCUUCGAAUGAAAAUCUAAAUCCUUGCAGCCUGCGUCAUGCAGCUUCUCCCAAUGAGUAAGUGAACCUUGAACAGUUAUCACUCAGCUCAAACUAAAAUGAAAUUACUGUGGACAUGUGAAUUAAAAAUAGAUGUAAAAGUAGUUUUCUCAAAGCAAAGUCAAGAUAAGAGAUUAACUCUACUCCUUAUUUACAUUAAAAAUAACGAACAAUGGAAAACAGAGCUAGAGAAGAACUUACCUGUGCGUUGAGAUCAUGUGGGGAAUGUGAGAUAUCUUCUUAGAUUUGGUUUGGGAAACUCCAUCUUCUUCUGAAAGUUCUGACAGUUCCCUAAACCCAGGCCAAUACAAUUGCAACAGAAACUGCAUGCUUUAACCAGUAUCUGAUCAUCUCCUGUUAUUUCAAGACAAUAAUAACUUAAUUGCAACACUGCAUGCUUCAACCAAUAACCUUUUCGACUUCAACACUUCUUUUGUCCCCCACCCGAUGCCCUUUUCACAAUUCUAUGAAUCAGAUAAAUCAGCCUUCUUCACAAAACUAAAAUUUCGGUCCCCAUGUAGCAGAGUUUCUUAUUUUUCCUUUGUACACAAAUGCAGACACUUAAGCAAAUUAAGAUUUCUUACCUAAAGCAAAUUAGGAUUUCUUUUGAUCCUGCAAGUUACAAUUUCAGUCCCCAUGUAAUAGUAAAAAUUUGUACACAUAUUUAUAUAGCAAAUUAAUAUUUCAUACCUCACAAUAUUUAUCAUAACCAUCAAUCUUUAGAAACCACAUGCAGACUUGUUAAACUGUUUAUGGCCCAAAAUAACAGGAAAAUUAGAACAGAUUUUUAAGAAUGAGCGACUAAAUAUUUCAAUGGCAACUAAAAUUACACAUCUUGGAAAUCUGAAACUCAAGUACUCAGAACACUGUAAGUGCAUUGCAUAAUCUUGGGUAAAAAAUACACAGCAAUUAAACAAGCUGGGAACUUUAGUGCAAAUGCUUUUUCAUAAUCUUCAAUUGCAUAAGUCAGUUAGAAUCAAUCUUUCUUAAUCUUUCAAUUCACAUAUGAGAGCCUGAUAACACAAGGAAACACUGUAAGUGAAUUGUCAACUGUGACAAAUUUUGGGUAAAAAUUAUCAACUGUAGUUAUCUGCAUAACAUUUAGUGUCAACCCCAAAUUCCUUCCUGAUCCGUGGAAGCAUUUCAGCCCACAGACGGUUAGCUUUGUCAAUAUACGGCAACUCAGGAUUCUAUAUUUAAACUAUGAUGUUUGAUGACUUGCUGAUACAAAAGACAUUGCCCCAAGCACUUUUUUACAUUAGCUAAAAUCAAGCCAGUCACUUCCAUUUGUUGCAGUUUUAAUGCAGAAAGAAAAAAGGGGGAAAAAAAUCUGCAAGAUGCCACUUGUAAUACCGCAUGUUCGCAGGAGCAGAGUUAAAUAAUUACAAAAUUACAUUCUUUAUUGGCCACAAAGCUGCCUAGAAAAAGGCUUUAAAUUCUUAAUGAGACAACGUAUUCGAACAAAUAUGGUGAAUGAAGAGACAAAGGCAUAACACCUCGGGAAGUAAAGCUCUGUUUCUGUAUGUGCUCAAACCAAUGGAAACCCAUGGAAAUGAAUUUCUACGAAUUAGACAUGUCAGCCAAAACAGGUACUCUGUACAAGCAAAGUAAAAGAGAGUUACAAAAAAUUUUAAGAUAAUUAAACUUUUAGUCACCAUAUAAUUAAUAGAAAACUUUGUACACAAUGAUUUAUAUGAGAUUAAGAUUGUAUACCUAAGUUUUAAUUGCAAACUAAAUAUACACAACAUGAUAUUAGCAUUAGAAGACUGCACCAAAACGCACCGAAUUGAAUGUACCUCUUAACGGCCAUUGUACAUGCAUUGAAAGUUUACCGCAAAAGCUGUUUCAAACGUGAUGCAUCUUAGAGAUGCAAGAUGAGAAAUUGUUAUUACAACUAGCAUUGAAACAUGUGUGAAAACUGUUAAUGGACCUAAAUAACUUGAAAAUCAGAAAAGAUUAGGAAUGAGUGACUAAGCCUGCUAAUCGCAACUAAACGUGCAAACCUUGAAAAUCCAAAAUUGUACUCGAUGAAUGUGCAAUUGCUCAAGCAGGUAAAUUUCCUGCAAAGGCUCUUACAAACCCUCAAAGAUGAUACUCUACAUACCAUGGUAACCUGAGUAACAAAAAGAAACACAGUGAAUAUUAAAGGGCAUUCUGACAAUGCAAAUUUGUGUAAAUUAACAACUGCGGUUACCUGCAUAAUAGUGUCAAUACCGAAUUCCUUCCUCCAUGGAAGCAUGUGAUCAGCCCACAUGUGCUUUGCUCUGUAGCUUUUGAAUACCUGAAAUUGUUAUCACAACCAACGGUGAAAAAUGGGUGAAAAAAGGGUAAUAGUAGCAUAAUUGAAUUUGCUUAUAGAGGAUAAACCGAUCAAAGAAAAAAACAAGACAGAAAUGAUGAUCUUAGUACCUUAAUAUCAUGCAAUAAUAAUCAUCAUGCCUUCUAGGCAGCUAUCCAUCCUCAAUUGAAACAGAGCAGACCUGGCCAUCACUUUCUUCUUCAAAGUCCAGCAACUGAACGUUGCACACAACACCACAGUGGAAGUUCCAUCACCAGCCUAAUCCUUGAUUACCCCAAUGUUCUCCAUAGGGUCUUCAAAGUCAACCUAAAAAUAAAAUGAAAAUGCAAUGCAUUAUUAUUAGGGAUCUAGUGCUUGAGCUUGCUUUGACAUCAUGGUAUUAGCAAAUUCUGAUAUAGCCAAAAUGGUGAAUAAGAUGACGUACUUGAUAAGAAAAACCUGAUUUAACAAAUAAUUAAGGAGCCGGUAACAAUCACAGAAUCUCAUCAUGUGGGGAACGCCUUGGCAACAGAAGAUGGUGCUUUCAUUCAAGCAAUAGCAACUUUCCAAUUUCAUAAGGUAGUUUAAUGGCCCUUUUAAGAACAUCUGCACCAGCCUAAUAAUUAUUCAUGGAAAUUAAUAAUCAGAAUCAUGUUAGAUUGAGAGAUGAAACAUAAUAAGCGAUUUGGCCACCAUAUAUGCAUUUAUCACCUUCAAUUUGCUCAUCUUUGUCUAGAGUAUUGCUUCUGCAUUAACUUAAUUAGCUUGCAAGCCACCUGAACAUGGUUUUAAAUAAAGUGUAAGAGCUCGAAUUCGAACGAAUUAAUCAAAUAUGCUGACAGGAGAAACAAAAGUAAAUAACCACAAGAAGUAGAAAUAUACUUUUGUUAUAUUCAGAGCAUCUUCUUGCGUCAAGUUCUUUUCCUUUAGCUCUGUUUCUGUUUGUGCUCAAACGCAAUGGCUCAAGGGCCAAGAUAAUUUUAUGACCAUCAAUCUUUUUGCAGCCACAGCAGACUUGAAAAAAUGAUUGUGGCCCUAAGGAACUUGAAAAUUAGAAAAGAUUCAGAAUGAGUGACUAAAUAUUAUAAUUGAAACUAACUAAACAUUAUAAUCGAAACUAAUUAAACGCCUAGAAAAUCUGAAACUGAGCAAUUGCUUCUGGUGGAAACUUUACUGCAAGGACUUUCUCAAACCCUUGAAGAUCACACUCUACCUGAUAACAAAGAAACAGUCAAUAUACGAAGAUGAUUUUACUAACAAGUGAGUGCUUACACAUAUUGGAAGGAUAAUGAUGAUUCAUAACCCAAAUCCCCAAUACUCCCUAUUAUCUCACUCAAGUUCGAGCUCCCAGAAUUCACUACUGUGAAGCUCUCACAACAAAAUUCCCUUCAAAGAUUCUCUACUCAAAUUUGAUGAUGAUGUCCCUCCAAAGGAGGCAAAAAAUCUAACACUGAUCAAAUUGGUUUGUGAACAAUUAAUCUUCCUGGCCAUCAUGCAUACCAGGUGUGGUGAGCAAUCUUCAUUAUGACAUUUGCCUUAAUAAGCAGCUUAGUUUCCUUAACCUGAUAACUUACACAAACAAAAACAACUUGAUUAAAGUUUAAUAUUUAGAGGCAGAACAGUAAAGAAGAUGAUAUAUAUUGAUACUAAAAUUUGACCUGUGUUAUCCUGACGUCAAGAAUCACAGCAUCUCAUGUGGGCAGAAUCUUCGCAGUACAAUAUGCUUGCAAAAUUGAAGCAGCAUCUUAUCACCUGUAAUUUAAUUAAGACAAUAACUUUCCCCAACCAUUUCAAUGCAUUAUUGCCAACUAAAUUCAGAGGGUGCUAAUUAAAUAGCCUUUGAACAAUAUAUUCUUAUUCUUCUCCAAUCUAACAAUUAUUUCGAAAAUCUAAAUGACAAUCACGCAUCGAUGGCAUCAAAAUUUGGCUACAAAGCAGCCUGGAAAAGGCUUUACUCUCUGAAUGAGAGCAUGAAUUCGAAACAAAUAUGAUGAAUGAAGAAAAUAAGGCAUAAUACCACCAAAAGUAAAACUUUCUCCCAGGGCUCUAUGUUUCUGUUUGUGCUAAAACCAAUAGAAACCGAUGGAAAUGAAUUUCUAGGAAUUAGACAUAUCAGCGAAAACAGGUAUUCUGUACAAGCAAAGUAAAAUAGGGUUACCAAAAUUUUUAAGAUUGAUAUGAUACUUGAAAAAUAGGUUUGCACAGAAUUAAUUAUUCUGUCAUUGAGAUUGUUCUUUUAUAGAGAUUUCCAGCGCACAUAAAACUAUUAAAUCAGUAAACUAAAUCACUGAUUUAAGGAAAGAAUAAUUUCUAGGUAGAUUUUCCUAAAAUACAUAGAUUUGCACCUAAAUAGCUAUGUUACAGCUAAUGACUAAUUUACAGCACAUAUUUUUUCUAAUUUUCUAACACUCCCCCUCGAGCUGGUUUGAAGAUAUCCUCCAUAGCCAGCUUGCCAACUAGAAAAUUGAACUGUUUUGUGUGUAGUCCUUUGGUAAAGACAUCAGCCACUUGUUCUCCAGUAGGAAUGUGCUCCAUAUGAACCAAUCCAUUAUCUAUCUUCUCCUUGAUGAAAUGCUUGUCAAUCUCCACAUGUUUUGUGCGGUCAUGAAGGACUGGAUUGUGUGCUAUUGAGAUUGCUGCCUUGUUGUCACAGUACAACUACAUAGGAGAUGAUUUUGUCGCUUUUAACUCUUCCAACAGCCUCCUAAUCCACAUGAUCUCACAAAUGCCAUGGGUUACAGCUCUAAAUUCAGCCUCAGCACUGCUCCUAGCUACCACAUUCUGUUUCUUGCUUCUCCAAGUAACCAAAUUACCACCUACAAAUGAACAGUAUCCAGAAGUGGAUCUUCGGUCUACUUUGCAGGUAAAUUUACUGCAAAGGCUCUUACAAGCCCUCAAAGAUGAUAUUCUACAUACCAUGGUAACCUGACUAACAAAAAGAAACACAGUGAAUAUUAAAGGGCAUUCUGACAAUGCAAAUUUGUGCAAAUUAACAACUGCGGUUACCUGCAUAAUAGUGUCAAUACCGAGUUCCUUCCUCCAUGGAAGCAUAUGAUCAGCCCACAUGUGCUUUGCUCUGUAGCUUUUGAGUACCUGAAAUUGUUAUUACAACCAGCGGUGAAAAUUGGGUGAAAAAAUGGUAAUAUUAGCAUAAUUGAAUUUGCUUAUAGAGGAUAAACCGAUCAAAGAAAACGACAAGAUAGAAAUGAUUAUCUUAGUACCUUAAUAUCAUGCAAUAAAAAUCAUCAUGCCUUCCAGGCAGCUAUCCAUCCUCAAUUGAAACAGAGCAGACCUGGCCAUCACUUUCUUCUUCAAAGUCCAGCAACUGAACGUUGCACACAACACCACAGUGGAAGUAGUUCCAUCACCAGCCUAAUCCUUGAUUACCCCAAUGUUCUCCAUAGGGUCUUCAAAGUCAACCUAAAAAUAAAAUGAAAAUGCAAUGCAUUAUUAUUAGGGAUCUAGUGCUUGAGCUUGCUUUGACAUCAUGGUAUUAGCAAAUUCUGAUAUAGCCAAAAUGGUGAAUAAGAUGAUGUACUUGAUAAGAAAAACCUGAUUUAACAAAUAAUUAAGAAGCCGGUAACAAUCACAUAAUCUCAUCAUGUGGGGAAUGCCUUGGCAACAGAAGAUGGUGCUUUCAUUCAAGCAAUAGCAACUUUCCAAUUUCAUAAGGUAGUUUAAUGGCCCUUUUAAGAACAUCUGUACCAGCCUAACAAUUAUUCAUGGAAAUUAAAAUUCAGAAUCAUAUUAGAUUGAGAGAUGAAAUAUAAUAAGCGAUUUGGCCACCAUAUAUGCAUUUAUCACCUUCAAUUUGCUCAUCUUUGUCUGGAGUAUUGCUUCUGCAUUAACUUAAUUAGCUUGCAAGCCACCUACAAAUGGUUUUAAAUAAUGUGUGAGAGUGUGAAUUCGAACGAAUUAAUCAAAUAUGCUGACAGGAGAAACAAAAGUAAAUAACCACAAGAAGUAGAAAUAUACUUUUGUUAUAUUCAGAGCAUCUUCUUGCGUCAAGUUCUUUUCCUUUAGCUCUGUUUCUGUUUGUGCUCAAACGGAAUGGCUCAAGGGUCAAGAUAAUUUUAUGACCAUCAAUCUUUUUGCAGCCACAUGCAGACUUGAAAAACUGGUCGUGGCACUAAGGAACUUGAAAAUUAGAAAAGAUUCAGAAUGAGUGACUAAAUAUUAUAAUCGAAACUAAUUAAACAUACACGCCUAGAAAAUCUGAAACUGAACUUCUCAAAUGUAUAUGCCUCUUCGCAGCAAUUGCUUGUGGUGGAAACUUUACCGCAAGGACUUUCUCAAACCCUUGAAGAUCACACUCUACCUGAUAACAAAGAAACAUAGUCAAUAUACGAAGAUGAUUUUACUAACAAGUGAGUGCUUACACAUAUUGGAAGGAUAAUGAUUACUCAUAACCCAAAUCCCCAACACUCCCUAAUAUCUCACUCAAGUGAGUACGAGCUCCCAGAAUUCACUACUGUGAAACUCUUACAACAAAAUUCCCUUUAAAGAUUCUCUACUCAAAUUUGAUGAUGAUGUCCCUCGAAAGGAGGCAAAAAAUCUAACACUGAUCAAAUUGGCUUGUGAACAAUUAAUCUUCCUGGCGAUCAUGCAUACCAGGUGUGGUGAGCAAUCUUCAUUCUGACAUUUGCCUUAAUAAGCGGCUUAGUAUCCUUAACCUGAUAACUUACACAAACAAAAACAACUUGAUUAAAGUAUAAUAUUUAGAGGCAGAACAGUAAAGAAGAUGAUAUAUAUUGGUACUAAAAUUUGACCUGUGUUAUCCUGACGUCAAGAAUCACAGCAUCUCAUGUGGGCAGAAUAUUCGCAGUACAAGAUGCUUGCAAAAUUGAAGCAGCAUCUUAUCACCUGUAAUUUAAUUAAGACAAUAACUUUCCCCAACCAUUUCAAUGCAUUAUUGGCAACUAAAUUCAGAGGGUGCUAAUUAAAUAGCCUUUGAACAAUAUAUUCUAAUUCUUCUCCAAUCUAACAAUUAUUUGGAAAAUCUGAAUGACAAUCAUGCAUCGACGACAUCAAAAUUUGGCUACAAAGCAGCCUGGAAAAGGCUUUACUCUCUGAAUGAGAGCAUGAAUUCGAAACAAAUAUCAUGAAUGAAGAAACAAAGGCAUAAUACCACAAAAAGUAAAACUUUUCCCAGGGCUAUCUGUUUCUGUUUGAACUAAAACCAAUGGAAACCGAUGGAAAUGAAUUUCUAGGAAUUAGACAUAUCAGCCAAAACAGGUACUCUGUACAAGCAAAGUAAAAUAGGGUUACAAAAAAUUUUAAGAUUGAUAUGAUAAUUAAAAUUUCAGUCACCAUAUAAUUAAUAGAAAACUUUGGACACAAUGAUUUAUUGCAUAUUAAGAUUGCUAUAUAAAAUAUAAUAUUAGCAUUAGGAGACCGCACCGAAGCAUACCGAAUUGAAUGUGCCUUUUCACAGCCAUUUUACAAGCUUUGAAGCUUCACCACAAAUGCUUUUUCCAACCCGUGAACAUGGUGCACCCGAGAGAUGCAAGCUAUGAAAUUGUUACUACAGCAAGCGUUGGAACAUUUGUUAAAAAAGGAAGUUUAUGAAAAUACGCCUUUGGAUACCAGUCUUCAGGAAUCAAUUCAUCCGUAAUAACAAUUUUCAAGAAUUAUCAACUGCUUUAAGCUCAUCGACAUCACAAAGAUCUCAACUAAAAUAGAGCAGAUCCGGCCAUCACUAUCCCUUCUACUGCUCUUUUCCUUUAGAGAAUGAUUGAAUUACAGAAUGCGUGUAAGGCAUUCUUAUUCAAGGUCCAAUGAUCAAACCUUGCACUAUAACAACAGAGGUAGUAGUUUCUUCGCCAGCCUAAUCCUUGGUCUCAGGAAUGUCCUCAACAGAGUACUCGAAAUCAACCUAAAAAUUAAGAAUGAGUUGGAAAACUGUUUAUGGCCCUAAAGAACUUGAAAAUAAGAAAAGAUUAAGAAUGAGUGACUAAACAUUUAAUCGCAACUAAACAUACAAACCUUGAAAAUCUAACUUUGAAGUACUCUUGAAUGAAUGAGCAGUUGCACGAGCUGGUGACAACUAAGGUUACUGUGAAGUCUCUUACAAAUCCUUAAAGAUGAUACUUUACAUACCACGAUAACCUGAUAACACAUAGGAACACAAUAAACAUUAAAGUGUAUUCUGACAAUGCAAAUUUGUGGAAAUCAUCAGCUGUGGUUACCUGGACAAUAUUGCCAACACCAAACUCCUUCCUCAAUUGAAACAUAUGAUCAGCCCACAAAUGCUUUGCUUUGUAGCUUUUGAGAGCCUGAAAUUGUUAUCACAACCAACAAUGAAAAUUGGGUGAAAAAAUUGAUAAUAUUAGCUUAAUUCCAUAUGUUUAUAUAGGAUAAACCGAUCAAAGAAUGAAAAAAGAUAGAAACAGAGCAGACCCAGCCAUCACUUUCUUCUUCAAAGUCGCACCAUAACCACAGUGGUAGUCGUUCCACUGCCAGCCUAAUCCUUGGUCACCCCAAUGUUCUCCAUGAAGUAUUCAAAGUCAACCUAAAAAUAAAUAAAAAUGCAAUGCAGGUGGAAAUGAAAAUUCUAUAAAUUAAAUAAAAUAAAAAUGCAAUGCUUGAGCUUGAGCUUGCUUUAGCAUCAUCGUAAUAGUAAAUUUUGAUAUAUCUUUACUUCUCUGUUCUUGUUUAUUCACAACAAGAUAUCAAUAGAAGAAGAUGGAAAUGAAAUUCUAUAAAAUAAAGCAAGUGAAUUACCAACAGAACAUUUUAGCAAUCCUUUGGCUAAACUUUUCAUUUUCUUAGCAUACUCUCCUGCCUGGUGAACAUAAUUAAACAAGUAUGAAAUAAAACAAAGUGGGCUAAUGUAGUAAAAACAAUAACACAAUUACUUUAAAGAAUUAAUGUCACGUAUAUUAUAUAUAAAAAAAUACGAUUAUCAUUAUAUAAGAUAAAAUUGAUAAUUUAGUUUUCAACAUUACUGCAAACGUAUCACAGAGAUUUUGUUACACAUAACAAAUUUUCGUACAUAUGAAAAUAAAUUACAUUGCAUGAAAUUUUACAAAAGAGCACAUAUUUUUUAAAAGUAAAUAAAUAUAGAAAUUUCAACAGACUACACUUGUAUUUUUUUUUAAUUAUUUAAUCUUUAGAAAACAAGUUUAACAGAUUUGAUAACUAGGAAGUUUUACGUAUUUAUACCAUGAUUGAUUCUAUAUAGAAUUUUAAUUCAAAAUAUAAUUAUUUUUAUUAAUUUCAUUGCAAGCAACAACGAAGUAAAUUAGAGGAGGAGGAGAAAUUACCGGCGAGUGAUAAAUUACCGCGACCACUUGAUGUGGGGAAUGCGAGAUAUCUUAUGCCAGUCUUCUCCUUUCCCCUCUCUAUAACGGUUUUCCAGAAGAGGACAUCUGUCAAUAGUCAAUUCCUGCAGCGUCGUCGUCCGAAGAAGGUAAUCCGGCAGCACCUUUAAUUUGGGGCAAUACUCAAUUACCAAGGAAGAAAGACGUGG
rnacentral:lncRNA from 1 species